rnacentral:rRNA from 1 species
UCGAGAAUUUUUCUCAAUGGGCGAAAGCCUGAAGGAGCGACGCCGCGUGGGGGAUGAAUGGCUUCGGCCCGUAAACCCCUGUCAUUUGCGAACAAAUUGAUUCACUUAACACGUGUAUCAUUGAUUGUAGCAGAAGAGGAAGGGACGGCUAACUCUGUGCCAGCAGCCGCGGUAAUACAGAGGUCCCAAGCGUUGUUCGGAUUCACUGGGCGUAAAGGGUGCGUAGGCGGUUAGGUAAGUCUGUUGUGAAAUCUCCGAGCUUAACUCGGAAACUGCAGUGGAUACUAUCUAACUCGAGGAAUGGAGGGGAGACUGGAAUACUUGGUGUAGCAGUGAAAUGCGUAGAUAUCAAGUGGAACACCAGUGGCGAAGGCGAGUCUCUGGACAUUUCCUGACGCUGAGGCACGAAAGCCAGGGGAGCAAACGGGAUUAGAUACCCCCGUAGUCC